rnacentral:rRNA from 1 species
UAUGUAGGGCGCAAGCGUUAUCCGGAAUUAUUGGGCGUAAAGAGCUCGUAGGCGGUUUGUCGCGUCUGCCGUGAAAGUCCGGGGCUCAACUCCGGAUCUGCGGUGGGUACGGGCAGACUAGAGUGAUGUAGGGGAGACUGGAAUUCCUGGUGUAGCGGUGAAAUGCGCAGAUAUCAGGAAGAACACCCGUGGCGAAGGCGGUUCUCUGGGACGGUACUGACGCUGAGACGCGAAAGCGUGGGGAGCGAACAGG